rnacentral:lncRNA from 1 species
AUUGUAAAUUCUUCAUAAUGGGUGUUCUUUCUUCAAAUAGGGACUACCCCUACAACAUUUUGGGAUUGACUGUGGAGUAUUCAUGGUUAUGGUGAGUUGCCAAGCUCAUUUUCAGGAUGUUUACUGAUGUCUACACAACAUCCAUUGUGUCCACACCAUGUCCAUUAUGCCCAGGAGCACCUCAUUUUAAUUCAUCUUUGUGAACUUUUGCUCAUACACAGACAUGGCAAAAUAACAGACUUUCUGCUUUUACAGUAUGCCUGGUACAUAACUAUGGAGGCAGCAUUUGAUUUCACCAUUAUAAGUACUGUACAGUCUUGGUGUUAAAAAAAAAAAAAAAGUUUGUUAAUUGUUUUGAUUUACCUUAUAACUGUUCCUAUGUUCAGUAUGACAUGCCAUAUUUGAGGAGGUGGUGGUGCAAGGUUUUGCUGGAGAACCUUGAGAUUGAGGGUACGGUUUGUGAAUGAAAAGUAGUACACUUAAUAGAUACUACUGUAGUAGUAGUGGAAGUAGAAGUGGGAAAGCAUGAUGAACAUAUUUGGUCAAUGUCAAUUACAGACAUGGUCGAAGAUUUGCACGUUUUACACAGGAAGGCAGGAAGAUGAGGGAAGGAAGUCUGCCACUUGUCUUUCAUGUCCCUAGGAAAAGGAGACACAACACUUUGGUAACUACACUCCCAGCAAAGAUCGCAAGGGUUUCACAGGAUGGUGCAGUGACCACUGACAUUUUGCAGUUGGCAGAUGACAUUCUCCAGAGUAUCCUUGUCUUCGUAGUUCUAGAAGAUGGCUGCUCUGCAAUCCUCAGGCUGGCUCUGACAUGCCAGAGAUUUAACAGCAUUGUCAGCCAAGAGCAUUUUCAACAGGAGGCACACUUCAGCUGGCUUGAUAGUGAGUUCAAUAAUUGCCCCCUCUUGUUUUUUGUGGGUAAUCUCACUCUCUUUCCUAACAUGAAACUUUUGACAGUUAAAGAUGUUCAUUUAUUGUCUGAAUUGUGUGACUUAAUGUGCUGUCAUAAUUGUGUUUUGAUACUAAACAGGUGUAGUGAAUUGUAA